AUACGGAGGGGGCUAGCGUUGCUCGGAAUUACUGGGCGUAAAGGGCGCGUAGGCGGCCGAUCAAGUCAGGGGUGAAAGGCCUGGGCUCAACCUAGGAACUGCCCUUGAAACGGGUUGGCUUGAGGACGGGAGAGGGUGGCGGAAUUCCCAGUGUAGAGGUGAAAUUCGUAGAUAUUGGGAAGAACACCAGUUGCGAAGGCGGCCAGCUGGACCAGUCCUGACGCUGAGGCGCGAUAGCGUGGGGAGCAAACAGGAGUAGAAACCCCGGUAGUCC
rnacentral:rRNA from 1 species